GAUGAACGCUGGCGGCGUGCCUAAUACAUGCAAGUCGAGCGAAUGGAUUAAGAGCUUGCUCUUAUGAAGUUAGCGGCGGACGGGUGAGUAACACGUGGGUAACCUGCCCAUAAGACUGGGAUAACUCCGGGAAACCGGGGCUAAUACCGGAUAACAUUUUGAACCGCAUGGUUCGAAAUUGAAAGGCGGCUUCGGCUGUCACUUAUGGAUGGACCCGCGUCGCAUUAGCUAGUUGGUGAGGUAACGGCUCACCAAGGCAACGAUGCGUAGCCGACCUGAGAGGGUGAUCGGCCACACUGGGGCUGAGACACGACCCAGAAUCCUUCGGGAGACAGCAGUAAGGAAUCUUCCGCAAUGGACGAAAGUCUGACGGAGCAACGCCGCGUGAGUGAUGAAGGCUUUCGGGUCGUAAAACUCUGUUGUUAGGGAAGAACAAGUGCUAGUUGAAUAAGCUGGCACCUUGACGGUACCUAACCAGAAAGCCACGGCUAACUACGUGCCAGCAGCCGCAGUAA
rnacentral:rRNA from 1 species